AAUUUGAAAUCUGGCGUCUUCGGCGUCCGAGUUGUAAUUUGUAGAGGAUGCUUCUGGGCAGCCACCGGUCUAAGUUCCUUGGAACAGGACGUCAUAGAGGGUGAGAAUCCCGUAUGCGACCGGACAGGCACCCUCCACGUAGCUCCUUCGACGAGUCGAGUUGUUUGGGAAUGCAGCUCUAAAUGGGAGGUAAAUUUCUUCUAAAGCUAAAUACCGGCCAGAGACCGAUAGCGCACAAGUAGAGUGAUCGAAAGAUGAAAAGUACUUUGGAAAGAGAGUUAAAAAGCACGUGAAAUUGUUGAAAGGGAAGGGUUUGCAACCAGACUUGCUCGCGGUGUUCCGCCGGUCUUCUGACCGGUCUACUCGCCGCGCUGCAGGCCAGCAUCGUCUGGGGCCGCCGGAUAAGACUUUAGGAAUGUAGCUCCCUCGGGAGUGUUAUAGCCUAUUGUGAUGCGGCGCGUCCCGGGCGAGGUCCGCGCUUCGGCUAGGAUGCUGGCGUAAUGGUUGUAAACCGCCCGUCUUGAAACACGGACCAAGGAGUCUAGCAUCUAUGCGAGUGUUCGGGUGUCAAACCCCUACGCGUAAUGAAAGUGAACGGAGGUGGGAACUUUUUGUGCACCAUCGACCGAUCCUGAUGUCUUCGGAUGGAUUUGAGUAAGAGCAUAGCUGUUGGGACCCGAAAGAUGGUGAACUAUGCCUGAAUAGGGUGAAGCCAGAGGAAACUCUGGUGGAGGC
rnacentral:sRNA from 1 species